rnacentral:rRNA from 1 species
CGCGUAAGAAUCUACCUUUAGGAGGGGGAGUAACAGUUGGAAACGAACUGCUAAUUCCCACUAUGCUGAGGAGUGAAAUAGGUGAAUAACCGCCUAGAGAUGAGCUUGCGUCUGAUUAGCUAGUUGGUAAGGUAAUGGCUUACCAAGGCGAUGAUCAGUAGCUGGUCUGAGAGGAUGAUCAGCCACACUGGGACUGAGACACGGCCCAGACUCCUACGGGAGGCAGCAGUGAGGAAUAUUGGGCAAUGGAGGCAACUCUGACCCAGCCAUGCCGCGUGCAGGAAGAAUGCCCUAUGGGUU